rnacentral:rRNA from 1 species
UCCUACGGGGGGCAGCAGUGGGGGAUAUUGCACAAUGGGGGGAACCCUGAUGCAGCGACGCCGCGUGGGCGAUGGAGUGCUUCGGCAUGUAAAGCCCUAUCAGCAGGGAAGAAAAUGACGGUACCUGACUAAGAAGCCCCGGCUAAAUACGUGCCAGCAGCCGCGGUAAUACGUAUGGGGCAAGCGUUAUCCGGAUUUACUGGGUGUAAAGGGAGCGUAGGCGGCCUGGCGAGCCUGAUGUGAAAUACCGGGGCCCAACCCCGGAACUGCUUUGGAAACUGUGCAGCUAGAGUGCGGGAGAGGUA